rnacentral:tRNA from 1 species
GGUCCUAUAGUCUAGUGGUCAGGACGUUGGAUUUUGAUUUCUGCCUUCCAAAGUCGCCAGUUCGAACCUGGCUAGGACCU